UGGGGAAUAUUGCGCAAUGGGGGAAACCCUGACGCAGCGACGCCGCGUGAGCGAAGAAGGCCUUAGGGUUGUAAAGCUCUGUUUUAAGGGACGAAUGUUCAUGGGAGUAAUAUGCCUAUGAAAUGACGGUACCUUAAGAGGAAGCCCCGGCUAACUACGUGCCAGCAGCCGCGGUAAGACGUAGGGGGCGAGCGUUGUCCGGAAUUACUGGGCGUAAAGAGCACGUAGGCGGGAACUUAAGUCAGGUGUGAAAGACCGGGGCUCAACCUCGGGUAUGCACUUGAAACUGGGUUUCUUGAGGGCAGGAGAGGAAAGCAGAAUUCCUGGUGUAGCGUUGAAAUGCGUAGAAAUCAGGAGGAAUACCAGUGGCGAAGGCGGCUUUCUGGACUGACCCUGACGCUGAGGUGCGAAAGCGUGGGUAGCAAACAG
rnacentral:rRNA from 1 species